ACGCGCAAUUUGACACGCAUUUUCUCUCUCUUCCACUUUCCAAGAAACCGCACAUGUUUGCUCGCCACCACCACCACCACGUUCCCAUGUUCUUCUAGAAACCCCACCACCCCUCCACAUAUAUAAAUACCACACCAACCGUAUGCGCAGCCCCCAUCCAUCUUAAAAUCUCUCAUCAUUUUCCUUUAGUCCUUCAUUUCCUUAGUUUUCAUUACCCUAAUUUAGUUCAGAUUUAUUUAUUUUUUGGGGGUUGAGGAUGAAUUCGAUGAGAUCUUGUGCCCUUCCAAUCAUUGGGUUUGUGCUCAUGGCUCUCCUGAGCCUGAGUUAUGGGCAGGCCCCAGCUCCUUCUCCAACAAGCGAUGGCAUGGCGAUUGAUCAAGGAAUUGCUUACACUCUUCUGCUGGUGGCCCUUGCAAUAACUUAUUUGCUGCACUGAUUCUUGAUUUCUCAAGUUUCAGGCAGCCCAAUCACAAUGAGCUUAUUAUUAUUGUGUACAUGAUCGAUUCGAUCUGGGAUUAUAAAAUUCAAAUUCUUUGUAUACUUUUCUCCUUAUAUUCACUUGGAGAAUUUACAGCCAGCCCCGUUGUAGUUUGUACCUGAAUGAAUAUCAUUUAUUUGAUCCUUUUUCCCACCAA